rnacentral:rRNA from 1 species
AUUGAACGCUGGCGGCAGGCCUAACACAUGCAAGUCGAGCGAGCGGCGGACGGGUGAGUAAUGUAUGGGAAACUGCCCGAUAGAGGGGGAUAACUACUGUAAACGGUCGCUAAUACCGCAUACUAUCGGAUGUACCCAUAUGGGAUUAGCUAGUCGGUGGGGUCAUGGCUCACCUAGGCGAAGAUCCCUAGCUGGUCUGAGAGGCUGAUCAGCCACACUGGGACUGAGACACGGCCCAGACUCCUACGGGAGGCAGCAGUGGGGAAUAUUGCACAAUGGGCGCAAGCCUGAUGCAGCCAUGCCGCGUGUAUGAAGAAGGCCUUCGGGUUGUAAAGUACUUUCAGCGGGGAGGCGUUACCCGCAGAAGAAGCACCGGCUAACUCCGUGCCAGCAGCCGCGGUAAUAC